GUCACACCAUGAAACCAAUCUUCCAGCAGUGAAACAAACACCAAGCAAACAGCCUGGAGCAUGUGAGCGGAGGAGACUGAAACACAAGGGACGCGCUGCACUCGCGGCCCGACAGCUGCCUUCGUGUGGAAACACUGGGACGGUUCCGUCCAGUCUUCGAUCCAAAGGGCGUCCUCUUCUCUGGUGUGAACGACUGAAACGUCCUGGAUGGUGAUGUUGGAGAAAGACUGCGCUCUAAACCUCCUCGUCUGUUGAAACCUGACGUGGCGAGAACUGAAGAAUCCUGGUAGAAGAUCAAACGUCUUCACGUC